GCUCAACCGAGGAAGUGCUUCGAAAACUGGUAAACUUGAGUGCAGAAGAGGAAAGUGGAACUCCAUGUGUAGCGGUGGAAUGCGUAGAUAUAUGGAAGAACACCAGUGGCGAGGGCGGCUUUCUGGUCUGUAACUGACGCUGAGAUUCGAAAGCAUGGGUAGCAAACAGGAUUAGAUACCCUGGUAGUCCAUGCCGUAAACGAUGAGUGCUAAGUGUUGGAGGGUUUCCGCCCUUCAGUGCUGCAGCUAACGCAUUAAGCACUCCGCCUGGGGAGUACGAUCGCAAGAUUGAAACUCAAAGGAAUUGACGGGGGCCCGCAUAAGCGGUGGAGCAUGUGGUUUAAUUCGAAGCAACGCGAAGAACCUUACCAGGUCUUGACAUACCAUGAAAAGCUAAGAGAUUAGUCUUUCCCUUCGGGGACAUGGAUACAGGUGGUGCAUGGUUGUCGUCAGCUCGUGUCGUGAGAUGUUGGGUUAAGUCCCGCAACGAGCGCAACCCUUAUUAUCAGUUGCCAGCAUUCAGUUGGGCACUCUGGUGAGACUGCCGGUGACAAACCGGAGGAAGGUGGGGACGACGUCAAAUCAUCAUGCCCCUUAUGACCUGUGCUACACACGUGCUACAAUGGUCGGUACAACG
rnacentral:rRNA from 1 species